UACGUAGGGACCGAGCGUUGUCCGGAAUCAUUGGGCGUAAAGAGCGUGUAGGCGGCUAUUUAAGUCCUGCGUGAAAUCCUGCGGCUCAACCGCAGACGGUCGUGGGAAACUGGAUGGCUAGAGUGCGGGAGAGGAGAGUGGAAUCCCCGGUGUAGCGGUGAAAUGCGCAGAUAUCGGGAAGAACACCCGUGGCGAAGGCGGCUCUCUGGAACGCAACUGACGCUGAGACGCGAAAGCGUGGGGAGCAAACAGG
rnacentral:rRNA from 1 species